GGUGGAGCGGUGUAGUGGUUAGCACAGUCGACCUGAUAUUGGGAGGCCCGGGGUUCAAAUCCCGACUCCGCCA
rfam:Ixodes scapularis strain Wikel colony gcontig_1108378719546, whole genome shotgun sequence.